CGGUGUGCGGGUGUGGGUGUGUGGGUGGGUGUGUGGGUGUGGGUGCGGGUGUGUGUGGGUGUGGGUGUGUCGGUGUGUGUGGGUGUGGGUGUGGGUGUGGGUGUGCGGGUGUGUGUGUGUGUGUGGGUGUGUGUGGGUGUGGGUGCGGGUGUGUGUGUGUCGGUGUGUGUGUGUGUGUGGGUGUGGGUGCACACACGCGCUUGCACACGUACAAUCCUGGCCUGGGCUUCCCAGCACACGGACGGGGUCACUCACCAUCCCCGCGCCGCGGGCGCUCCCUGCUACGCCCCCAACCAGCUCCACAGCCCCCUGCCCCGAACCGGUUGCCCGCGUCCCGGCCCCGGCCAGCCCUUCCCCACCACCGGGGGGUGUUCGUAUCGCCCUCACGCACUUCCAGGGCCCUGCCUGGGGCACGGAGCAGCGAGGAGCAGAGGGCGAUGACGGAGGCAGGGCAAGUAGCCAAAGGUGAGAGCUUUGUACCUGCUCCCCCAGGUCUCCGCCUCUCCCCGAACCUCCCCCAGCUUUAUCCGCGCAGGGUGCGACUUUCCAAAGGGCCCCCCCCCCCCGGUUUAGUCACCCAGGUCCCAUUGGCUGCCAGCGUGAUCCCUGCUCCUCAGUCACUUGGGCACUUUUGAAAAUGCCUCCCCCACAUACAAAUUAAACCCUCUAAAGUGAGGAAAUAACAGUCAGGUUGUGACGUUAUUGACAUGACCUGCGACCGUAUAGAUCAUUGUUGCAACCACUGUUAUAUAUUUGCAGCAAAUAUUGUACAGAGGUUGUGGUGUGAGGUGUCUAUGGAGAGGUUAGGGUUGGCUGGGUAGGAUUAUGCUGUCUGGAUGGGUCUAUCGUGGUUGUGGUUGAAGUGAUGAACAUUGGCUAUGUACUUGUAUCUCCAUGUGCUUGAUUCUAAGUAGCCUCAGGGAAGCAUUUGGUCAGCUUCUUGAGAAGGGACUAUUCUCAAUAAGUGCCCAGUCAAGAAACACUUAACUGACAGUGGACCUUGGGAGACUCCAAUUCACAUGAGAAGUCUUCCUGGGAAUGUUCAAGGUAGCAUGUGAGCAAUGGCUGCUCUCCCUGUAAAAGAAUUGAGUCAUGCAGGGACAUGUGACUUGCCCAAGUGACUCCAGACGCCAUCUUGCUGCUGUGAUUUUCCACAGUAAGAACAAAGGGGUGUCCUUCCACAUGGCAGAGGAUAUAAAAGGCCCUGGAAAUCCCUCCAUUUUAUCUUCAAUCCUGUUUCUUACCUUUGGAGAGACUUUGCUACACUGAAGCUCUGAACAAAGGACUGAAUGACCCAUCCCAGCUGGGGAUGUUCUCCAGAGACUUGAUUUGAACCUGCCGUUUAUUCCAUCACUACGACAUGCCUGAACCAAGAACUUUGCCAUCACUGUUCGGCCUCCCUGUCCAGCGUCUGUCAUCCGGUAGGAUCCCUUCUCCUGCAAAGAGGACCCCUCCCACCCUAAAUAAUGAGGAAUCAAUCAGUAAAGAUCAAAGCGACAGCAGGUGCUUGGGACCUCAAUCCUCUGGCUAACGGCAAGGCUUUGGAGAGGAGCUCCAAGGAGUCCCUUGAUGUUCCUUCGUGGCCACAGGAAAACAGAACAAAUGGUACGCUCAGGAGCACAGCGAUGGACGAUGAGAAAGGUAAGUGCUGUUUCUUCUCCUCUCUUCUCUUUAGAGGUGAGGAAGCUGUUGGAGGAAAAUCCCUAGGAUGGAUAGAUGUCUGCAGGUAAGACCCACGACCCGUGACCGUCCCUGGCUGCCACUCAGUUGGACAACCCUGAGGCCAUGUUCGGGGCACCUUUUUAUACACUGGCCCGGGAAACCCCUUAGAAAAGGCGGGAAGCCCCUUCUGGGAAACCCCUUAGGAAAACCAGUUCUGACUGGAAGUUGUUUACAACUCCAGGAGAAAUAAAAGAGCGGGAAAAUGGACCUAUAGCUCACGUGGGCAUAAAAUUCCAUUUUGAAACCAACAUGGAUUCCUGUAGUCACAAAACAUACGAAAAUGAACCCACCUAACAAAAGUGUGCUGUGGGGUUGGCUUGGCUCAUGAUCACAUGUGUUUGAAUGUGGUUGUGAUGUUUUCUCAAACUAAUGCUGGGUUCCCUUUCCCUUUCAAUAGCAGUUGUCUUUUGUAAAACACAGAGUCAGUGCCUGUGAGUGGGGACGUAUUGUCUCUUGGAGGCGUCCGGGGCGGUGUUAAGUUUUCCCAGAUUACUGCGGUGGGGGGGCUCGAGCCAGUUCUUUGUGGCAGUGUUAGGAGGAACCCCUAGAUAUUGAACCUGUGUGGGUGCUGCUGACUCCACCAUGCAGAAGGGUGAAGUUACAUUGUGGUAGGCCACGCCUAGAGGUGCCACUCAGGUCAGGGCCUGUUGUAUUAAUUUAGAUGGGCCAAAGGUGUUAACUACUCCUGAGGGAAUUCUGCACCAAAAAAAUAAAAAUUCUGUGCACAGUAUUUUAAAAUUCUGCAAAUUUUAUUUGUUAAUAAGUAAAUGUGGAUGCUCCAGUGUGGCAGUGGGGAGCACAGGCCACUGGCUGCACGGAAGUGGGAGAUCACUCUGCAGCACCCCCCGACCCCCCAGGACAGGACUCGGCAGUGAGGUUGCUCUGGACCCUGAUACAGCGCAAGGGCUGGACCUCCCCCGAAACUCCCAGGGCGCUGCCCCUCUGCACCGGGCACACCAGGUGUGGGCAGGCAGGCUCAGCCCAGCAGGAUCCAAGUGUGGAAGGGCUUAGUGUGGGGGGCAGGGGCAUGUUUUCUGCACACACAGUGGUGCAGAAUUCCCCCAGGAAUAGUAACAUAACCCAGUCACUGUCCAACACUGACCAGUUGGAAAAAGGUCCAAGGGGUGGUAUUCAGGGACCUCAGCCUGCUUAGUACUGUGGCAAAUGCUUCCAGCUCUGGUGGGGCCUGAUGUUUACACAACCGCUAGAAACGUCCCUGCUUUGUGUGUCUGAGUGGAGAUGAGAUCAGGAGGAGAUGGGUGGGCCAGAAGAGAGAAGAAACUCUGGUUAUUGCAGAUAUCUAGAGGGAGACCAAGUCCUGUCCCUUAUCCAAAAGGCCAGGCCCAUCCUGCCUCCCUCUGAGGGUCCCCUUCCUCUCCUCCACUGAGAUCUGGGCAGUUCAGGACACAGUCAGAGGGGGCUGGAUGGAUGCCUCUAUGCAGGGCCAGGAUUGGGACAGAGGAGACACACACAGAACUGCAUGCUCAGGAGAGUUUAUUCUUGUUGUGGGCUGCAGCCACUGAGGGGAAGGGGCAGGAGUGUAACUAGAACAGACACACUUCGGGGAAGAGAGUUUGCAGCUGGGGAAGUGAGAUCUGGUCUCUCAGGGAGGGAGAGGACUGUCCCUUGAUGCAGCAAAGGCAUUGGAAAGUCUGGGACCUUGUCUGAUCAUGCCCAAGGAGCCCAGUUCUUUUGCAUCCGAGGCGCUGAGCUCCCCCUUCAGGCGCAGGCGAGCGACUCUCCUCGCUAGGGUCGAUACUUGCAAACGUAGCCAUUUUUCGUAUGACAGUCUUUAUCAUUCCAGUUCUUAAAAUGUAGAAGGCAAAACCAAUCACUGGGGCAAUGGAAGGGCGAGUGGGGCCAUUCCUGCCCUUAUAGUGAUGUCUCUCCUCAUUGCACACUGCUGAGAGAAGACCCCAGCUCCUGUGCAUGAGGCUGCAAGGAUGAGGAGGCUGGAGAUGAAGGCCCAUGUGUCUCAGACAGGGACAGGCUCCAUGGUUCCAUGAGGGAUGCUGUGUCAGAGUGAUAGUGGAAGACCCUUGUGACAUUGCACCCCAUAAUGCUUUAUGGAAAUCUGCUUAUGAAAGUAAAUAGGACAUAACUGGAAUAUAUUUUAGGUAACAUAUCUCUGCAAAGGUUAUGGUCUACUGAAUAUAUCUGUAUGCAUGUAUCAUUUUUGUACUCAAAGUUAUGAAUAUUGGCUGUGUACUUGUUUGAUUUUAAGUAGCUUUAGUAAGGCAUUUGGUCAGCUUUGUUAGAAAGGAAUUUGCAAGUUAAGUGCCCAAUCAAGAAACACUUAACAGACAAUGGAUCUUGGAAGACUCCAAUCCACAUAAGAAGUCUACCUGAGGACGUUCAAGGUAGCAUGUGAACAAUAGCUGCUACCUGUAAGUUCUGAGUCAUGCAUGGACAUGUGACUUGCCCAUGUGACCUAAAACUCCUGUUUGUAGCUGUAUUCUACAUAGGGAGAGGGAGGGGUGUCCGCCCACAAGAGAGUCUAUUUAAACCCCUAGGAGACUUCUCCAUUUUGUCUUCAGCUGGCUCAAGAGAUAGCCUCUCCACCCCAAGGGAUACCUGAAAGAAACUGGAACAAAGGACCGUAACCAUAGGGGUGUGAGUGAUUGCUGGACCCAGACUAGAAGGAGCCUAGUCUGCAAAAGAAGCUUACUGAAACAUCUCUGAGCGUGAGGUUUCCUCUGUAAUCACUUUCUUACUGUAUUAGGUUUAGACUUGUGUGCUUUAUUUUAUUUUGCUUGGUAAUUCACUUUGUUCUGUCUGUUACUACUUGGAACCACUUAAACCCUACUUUUUGUAUUUAAUGAAAUCGCUUUUUACUGAUUAAUUAA